UACGUAGGCAGCAAGCGUUGUUCGGAGUUACUGGGCGUAAAGGGCGCGUAGGCGGCGCCACAAGUCACCUGUGAAAUCUCCGGGCUUAACUCGGAGCCUGCAGGCGAAACUGUGGUGCUGGAGUGUGGGAGAGGUGCGUGGAAUUCCCGGUGUAGCGGUGAAAUGCGUAGAUAUUGGGAGGAACACCAGUGGCGAAGGCGGCUCACUGGACCGGUACUGACGCUGAGGCGCGAAAGCGUGGGGAGCGAACAGG
rnacentral:rRNA from 1 species